CAGUUUCUAUUUGCUGUGGUGAUAUGAAAUGUAUAUGUGUAUCAAUGCCUCCAGCCGUUACUAUAAGACCUUCUCCUGCUAUAGCUUCAGUUGACGCUCCAACUAUCAUGUUUUCAUCUACACCAUCCAUGGUAUCCAUGUUUCCAGCUUUUCCUAUACCCACUAUUUUCCCAUCUUUAAUGCCUAUAUCUGCUUUUACUAUACCCCAAUAGUCAAUUAUCACUGCAUUUGUUAUUACUAGAUCCAAAACACCUUCAUGUCUAGCUGCUUUAGCUGAUUGCCCCAUACCAUCUCUA
rnacentral:sRNA from 1 species